rnacentral:rRNA from 1 species
UACGGGGGGAGCAAGCGUUGUUCGGAGUUACUGGGCGUAAAGGGCGCGUAGGCGGUCAGCACAAGUCAGUUGUGAAAUCUCCGGGCUUAACUCGGAAAGGUCAACUGAUACUGUGCGACUAGAGUGCAGAAGGGGCAACUGGAAUUCUCGGUGUAGCGGUGAAAUGCGUAGAUAUCGAGAGGAACACCUGCGGCGAAGGCGGGUUGCUGGGCUGACACUGACGCUGAUGCGCGAAAGCCAGGGGAGCGAACGGG